GAUGAACGCUGGCGGCGUGCCUAAUACAUGCAAGUCGAGCGAACAGACGAGGAGCUUGCUCCUCUGACGUUAGCGGCGGACGGGUGAGUAACACGUGGAUAACCUACCUAUAAGACUGGGAUAACUUCGGGAAACCGGAGCUAAUACCGGAUAAUAUAUUGAACCGCAUGGUUCAAUAGUGAAAGACGGUUUUGCUGUCACUUAUAGAUGGAUCCGCGCCGCAUUAGCUAGUUGGUAAGGUAACGGCUUACCAAGGCAACGAUGCGUAGCCGACCUGAGAGGGUGAUCGGGCACACUGGAAAUGAGACAACGUCCAGACUCCGACGGGAGGCAGCAGUAGGGAAUCUUCCGCAAUGGGCGAAAGCCUGACGGAGCAACGCCGCGUGAGUGAUGAAGGUCUUCGGAUCGUAAAACUCUGUUAUUAGGGAAGAACAAAUGUGUAAGUAACUAUGCACGUCUUGACGGUACCUAAUCAGAAAGCCACGGCUAACUACGUG
rnacentral:rRNA from 1 species